rnacentral:rRNA from 1 species
UGUACAACUUUCAACAACGGAUGUCUAGGGUCCCGCAUCGAUGAAGAACGCCGCGAAAUGCCAUAAAGAAUGGGAAUUGCAAAUCUUGGAACUCCAACCAUUCAACGCCCCCUGCUCCCCUUGGUAUUCCGAAGGGCAUGCCUGGUUGAGUGGC